rnacentral:rRNA from 1 species
CGCUGGCGGCAGGCUUAACACAUGCAAGUCGAACGGUCCUUCGGGGCAGUGGCAGACGGGUGAGUAACGCGUGGGAAUCUACCUUUCUCUACGGAACAACAGUUGGAAACGACUGCUAAUACCGUAUACGCCCUUUGGGGGAAAGAUUUAUCGGAGAAGGAUGAGCCCGCGUUAGAUUAGCUAGUUGGUGGGGUAAUGGCCUACCAAGGCGACGAUCUAUAGCUGGUCUGAGAGGAUGAUCAGCCACAUUGGGACUGAGACACGGCCCAAACUCCUACGGGAGGCAGCAGUGGGGAAUAUUGGACAAUGGGCGCAAGCCUGAUCCAGCCAUGCCGCGUGAGUGAUGAAGGCCCUAGGGUUGUAAAGCUCUUUCAACGGUGAAGAUAAUGACGGUAACCGUAGAAGAAGCCCCGGCUAACUUCGUGCCAGCAGCCGCGGUAAUACGAAGGGGGCUAGCGUUGUUCGGAAUUACUGGGCGUAAAGCGCACGUAGGCGGAUUGGUCAGUUAGGGGUGAAAUCCCAGAGCUCAACUCUGGAACUGCCU